rnacentral:rRNA from 1 species
CUAUAACAGAUACGGGCUCUGAGAGGAGGGGCCCGGAGAUGGGUACUGAGACACGGACCCAGGUCCUAUGGGGCGCAGCAGGCGAGAAACCUUUGCAAUGUGCGCAAGCACGACAAGGUUAAUCCGAGUGUUUCCUGCUAAAGGAAUCUUUUGUUAGUCGUAAAACCACUGAUGAAUAAGGGGUGGGCAAGUUCUGGUGUCAGCCGCCGCGGUAAAACCAGCACCUCAAGUGGUCAGGAGGAUUAUUGGGCCUAAAGCAUCCGUAGCCGGUUCUGCAAGUUUUCGGUUAAAUCCACUUGCUCAACAAAUGGGCUGCCGAAAAUACUACAGAGCUAGGGAGUGGGAGAGGUAGACGGUAUUCGGUAGGAAGGGGUAAAAUCCUUUGAUCUAUUGAGGACCACCUAUGGCGAAGGCAGUCUACCAGAACACGUUCGACGGUGAGGGAUGAAAGCUGGGGGAGCAAACCGGAUUAGAUACCCGGGUAGUCCCAGCUGUAAACGAUGCAGACUCGGUGAUGCACUGGCUUGUGGCCAGUGCAGUGCCGCAGGGAAGCCGUUAAGUUUGCCGCCUGGGAAGUACGUACGCAAGUAUGAAACUUAAAGGAAUUGGCGGGGGAGCACCACAAGGGGUGAAGCCUGCGGUUCAAUUGGAUUCAACGCCGGA